UACGAAGGGGGCUAGCGUUGUUCGGAAUCACUGGGCGUAAAGCGCACGCAGGCGGAUUGAUAAGUCGGGGGUGAAAUCCCGGGGCUCAACCUCGGAAUUGCCUUCGAUACUGUCUGUCUUGAGUCCGGGAGAGGUGAGUGGAAUUCCUAGUGUAGAGGUGAAAUGCGUAGAUAUCGGGAGGAAUACCAGUGGCGAAGGCGGCUUCCUGGCCUGUUCUUGACGCUGAGGCGCGAAAGCUAGGGUAGCAAACGGG
rnacentral:rRNA from 1 species